GGGCCGGUAGCUCAGUGGUAGAGCAGUUGGCUUUUAACCAAUUGGUCGCAGGUUCGAUCCCUGCCCGGCUCACCA
rnacentral:tRNA from 1 species